rnacentral:rRNA from 1 species
GUGACCUCGGAUCGGUAGCUCAAGCC